AACGGCGAGUGAAGCGGCAAAAGCUCAAAUUUGAAAUCUGGCACCUUCGGUGUCCGAGUUGUAAUUUGAAGAAGGUAACUUUGGAGUUGGCUCUUGUCUAUGUUCCUUGGAACAGGACGUCACAGAGGGUGAGAAUCCCGUGCGAUGAGAUGCCCAAUUCUAUGUAAAGUGCUUUCGAAGAGUCGAGUUGUUUGGGAAUGCAGCUCUAAGUGGGUGGUAAAUUCCAUCUAAAGCUAAAUAUUGGCGAGAGACCGAUAGCGAACAAGUACAGUGAUGGAAAGAUGAAAAGAACUUUGAAAAGAGAGUGAAAAAGUACGUGAAAUUGUUGAAAGGGAAGGGCUUGAGAUCAGACUUGGUAUUUUGCGAUCCUUUCCUUCUUGGUUGGGUUCCUCGCAGCUUACUGGGCCAGCAUCGGUUUGGAUGGUAGGAUAAUGACUAAGGAAUGUGGCUCUACUUCGGUGGAGUGUUAUAGCCUUGGUUGAUACUGCCUGUCUAGACCGAGGACUGCGUCUUUUGACUAGGAUGUUGGCAUAAUGAUCUUAAGCCACCCGUCUUGAAACACGGACCAA
rnacentral:rRNA from 1 species